ensembl:lncRNA
AAAAUGUCUGACAUUAUCCAUUGUCGUGCCCUCAUGACAGAGGAUGAAGCCCUAAUCAAGUCCACUGAUGCGUUCAAGAAGUUGUAUGUCUCCAAAUGGUCCGAGAUGGUGUCUCACCGUGCCUUGAACACACUGAGCGAGGCAAAGUUUAACAAGCCAUCAACAUUGCCCUUUACAGAAGAUGUUCGGAUUCUCCAUCACUACCUUCAAAAAUCUGCAGAAAGUGCCUUUUGCAGCUUGGAGAACGAAGCCACAGCUCAGAAUUAUGCCCAACUUGCACAAGUUACACUCUCACAGAUCAUUGUGUUCAAUCGAAGACGUUCUGGAGAGGUUUCAAAGAUGCGCCUCAAAAGUUUUCUUGAAAGAGACAAAACAGCACUCAACACAGAUGUUGCCAUGGGGCUUUCUGAAAUGGAACAGAGACUCUGUAACUAUUUCUGUAGAAUAGAAAUAAUGGGAAAAAGGGACAGAAAUGUUCCAGUUCUGCUAACACCAAGCAUGCUGGAUGCUCUGUCACUACUGGUUAGUAGGAGGCCUGACUGUGGUAUUUGUGCCACUAAUAUCUACCUCUUUGCAAGACCCCGAUCAAUGAGUCAUUACAGAGGAAUGGACUCCUUGCGUGUUCAUGCAUACCAGUGUGGAGCAAAGCACCCUGAGUAUCUAAGAUCGACACAGCUCAGAAAACAUGUUGCCACACUCUCACAAGUCCUUAAUUUGAAAAACAAUGAACUUGAUCAGGUUGCAGAUUUCCUGGGUCAUGAUAUUCGCAUUCACCGCGAAUUCUACAGAUUACCAGUUCCCACAACACAGCUGGCCAAGAUUUCCAAACUGCUUUUAACACUGGAAAAAGGACAUCUUUCCCAGAUCCAGGGGAAAUCACUGGAUGAGAUCGAAAUUGAAGGUUUGUAUUGAAAGGAGCAAAUAUUAGGGCAGUAGUUGAAUAUUAUGCUUUAUCAACAGAAUUAAAACCUAAAAGCACAGACCAUUCUGUUAAAUGUCCAUGAUUUAAGGUUCUUGAAGUCUGUUGUUUCAUCACUUUGCAACAUUUGGCAAACUGCAGAGUGGUGGCCUUAAAUAGUAAAACUAUGUACUGUGGAAAAAGUAUAAUUUCCAGUAUUUGUUCUGUAUUUUGUCAUAUGUCGUUGUUAAUGUGAGGUUUUU